rnacentral:tRNA from 1 species
GGGGAUGUAGCAUAGUUGGUAGAGCAUUUGCCUCCUAUGCACAGAGCCUUGGGUUCGAUCCCCAGCACCG